rnacentral:tRNA from 1 species
AGCCCCGUGGUGUAGAGGCUAUCAUAUGAGGCUUUGACCCUCACGACUCCAGUUCGAAUCUGGACGGGGCUGCCA